rnacentral:rRNA from 1 species
UACGGGGGGGGCAAGCGUUGUUCGGAAUUACUGGGCGUAAAGGGCUCGUAGGCGGCCAACUAAGUCGGACGUGAAAUCCCUCGGCUCAACCGGGGAACUGCGUCCGAUACUGGAUGGCUUGAAUCCGGGAGAGGGAUGCGGAAUUCCAGGUGUAGCGGUGAAAUGCGUAGAUAUCUGGAGGAACACCUGUGGCGAAGGCGGCAUCCUGGACCGGCAUUGACGCUGAGGAGCGAAAGCCAGGGGAGCAAACGGG